rnacentral:rRNA from 1 species
UGAGGAAUAUUGGUCAAUGGACGGAAGUCUGAACCAGCCAAGUAGCGUGCAGGAAGACGGCCCUAUGGGUUGUAAACUGCUUUUGUAUGGGGAUAAAGUCAAUCACGUGUGAUUGUUUGCAGGUACCAUACGAAUAAGGACCGGCUAAUUCCGUGCCAGCAGCCGCGGUAAUACGGAAGGUUCGGGCGUUAUCCGGAUUUAUUGGGUUUAAAGGGAGCGUAGGCCGGAGAUUAAGUGUGUUGUGAAAUGUAGACGCUCAACGUCUGACUUGCAGCGCAUACUGGUUUCCUUGAGUACGCACAACGUUGGCGGAAUUCGUUGUGUAGCGGUGAAAUGCUUAGAUAUGACGAAGAACUCCGAUUGCGAAGGCAGCUGACGGGAGCGCAACUGACGCUGAAGCUCGAAGGUGCGGGUAUCGAACAGGAUUAGAUACCCUGGUAGUCCGCACAGUAAGCGAUGGAUGCCCGCUGUUGGUACCUAGUAUCAGCGGCUAAGCGAAAGCAUUAAGCAUCCCACCUGGGGAGUACGCCGGCAACGGUG